UGCCUAAUAGACCUGUUUUCAGUUUUGCAG
rnacentral:piRNA from 1 species